rnacentral:misc_RNA from 1 species
AAGUCGUAACAAGGUCUCCGUUGGUGAACCAGCGGAGGGAUCAUUACCGAGUUUACAACUCCCAAACCCCUGUGAACAUACCUGUUUUCGUUGCUUCGGCGGGACCGCCCCGGCGCCUCUCGGGCCCGGACCCAGGCGCCCGCCGGAGGCCACAAACUCUUGUUUCUGCCGUUGUGGUAUUCUCUGAGUGACACAAGCAAAAUAAAUCAAAACUUUCAACAACGGAUCUCUUGGUUCUG